rnacentral:rRNA from 1 species
CGGCACGGGUGAGUAACACGUAUCCAACCUGCCGUCUACUCUUGGACAGCCUUCUGAAAGGAAGAUUAAUACAAGAUGGCAUCAUGAGUCCGCAUGUUCACAUGAUUAAAGGUAUUCCGGUAGACGAUGGGGAUGCGUUCCAUUAGAUAGUAGGCGGGGUAACGGCCCACCUAGUCUUCGAUGGAUAGGGGUUCUGAGAGGAAGGUCCCCCACAUUGGAACUGAGACACGGACCAA